rnacentral:sRNA from 1 species
UUUUAGCCCAGAUAGUAGCGGCAUCCUUUGUGGCGGGGGUUCCGCCACAAAGAUAUAGCGUAUAGCUGGAAGGAGC